ACGUUAGAGGGAUGUAUUAAGCAUGCAAGUCGAACGGCAGCGGAGGUGCUUGCACCUGCCGGCGAGUGGCGAACUGGUGAGGAACACGUAGAUAUCUGCCUUAUGGACAGGGAUAGCCGCCGGAAACAGUGAUUAAUACCUGAUAUGUCUUCGGAUAAAAGGUGCGUUUUGCACCACCAUGAGAUGAGUCUGCGUCCUAUUAGCUUGAUGGUGAGGUAACGGCUCACCAUGGCGACGAUAGGUAGCCGGCCUGAGAGGGUGAUCGGCCACAUCGGGACUGAGAUACGGCCCGGACUCCUACGGGAGGCAGCAGCUAAGAAUAUUCCGCAAUGGACGCAAGUCUGACGGAGCAAUCCCUUGUGAGUGAUGAAGGUUCUCGGAUCGUAAAACUCUUUCAGCAGAGAAGAAUAAGAUAGAGAGGAAAUGCUUUAUUGAUGACGGUAUCUGCAUAAGAAACACCGACUAAUUACGUGCCAGCAGUCGCGGUAAUACGUAAGGUGUAAACGUUGCUCGGAAUUACUGGGCGUAAAGGGUGUGAAGGCGGCAGAGUAAGUUAGUGGUGAAAUCCUGGUGCUUAACACCGGGCCUGCCAUUAAAACUGCUUUGCUCGAGUUGGAAUAGAGGUAGCAGGAAUUUCUAGUGUAGGAGUGAAAUCUGUAGAUAUUAGAAAGAACACCAAAGGCGAAGGCAAGCUGCUGGGUACCGACUGACGCUAAUGCACGAAAGCCAGGGGAGCAAACGGGAUUAGAGACCCCGGUAGUCCUGGCCGUAAACGAUGUUCACCAGACUUAUGAUAUUUAUAUAUAUUAUGGGUUGAUGUUAACGCAUUAAGUGAACCGCCUGGGGAGUAUGCACGCAAGUGUGAAACUCAAAGGAAUUGACGGGGGCUCGCACAAGCGGUGGAGCAUGUGGUUUAAUUCGAUGGUAAGCGAAGAACCUUACCUGGGCUUAAACUUGUAGUGACCGUCUGUGAAAGCAGAUUUCUCUUCGGGGCACUAUGAGAGGUGCUGCAUGGCUGUCGUCAGCUCGUGUCGUGAGAUGUUGGGUUAAGUCCCGCAACGAGCGCAACCCUUAUCCUAUGUUGCUACGAUCUUUUGAUCAGGACUCUUAGGAGACUGCCGAGGUUAACUCGGAGGAAGGCGAGGAUGACGUCAAGUCCUCAUGGCCCUUAUGUCCAGGGCUACACACGUGCUACAAUGGGAAGUAUAAAGAGCAGCGAAGUCGCGAGGCGGAGCGAAUCUCAAAAAACUUCUCUCAGUUCAGAUCGCAGUCUGCAACUCGACUGCGUGAAGCUGGAAUCGCUAGUAAUCGCGGAUCAGAAUGCCGCGGUGAAUACGUUCUCGAGCAUUGUACACACCGCCCGUCACACCACCCGAGCUUAUUUUACCUGAAGUCGCUGCGCUACAGUAGUG
rnacentral:rRNA from 1 species